AUCAAUAUGGCUGCAGUGACAAUUCAAGAACCUUAAGCGCGCAAAUUAUAAUCUGCCGUUCACUGGUCUGUUAAUGUGUCCGCUCACGAUUUCUAGCGAGUCUGUUGAGUAUUUCCGUGUCACCCGCGAAUUACUUCGCGACUUAAUUAUCAAGAGUGCCCGAUGUUGACAGUAAUUAAAAAAAGAAAAAGAAUGUUUUUCGAUGUGGAGCAACCUUUUCGCUGCAAACCGCGACUUUCGUCUCAUCUAAAAUAUUUAAUAUUCGAGAGCUAUUCGAGCUUUUUAAAGCUCUUGUGGCGGUUACGAGCUUCGUGCUGCUCGUUUUUGCAUAAAUAUUUACGCCGGACCUAUUUCGAGCAUCGCGAAAAGAACUCGACUUCUUUCAAUAAAGCCCCGUGUGCUGUCGCGAGAUAAGCGUAAUCGGUUAAAUGCGCGUCCGCCAGUCGCAGAUAAAGCCCGAAAAAGAGACAUUUCGUUUACGGCUUUCCAAGAGUAAUACCGGGAGUGUGACUUCGCGCUUUCGUAAUUUAGCGAGCGACCUUGCUUGCUCUCAGGAAAACAAACGAAAGAAAAGUAUAUCGGCUGCGGGAAUUAAUGCGCGGGCUGAAAGAUAGCGGAAUAAUCCGCUGAAAACAAAAAAGGUGAAAACAAAAAAGGUGAAAACAAAAAAGGUGAAAACAAAAAAGGUAAAUGAUAAAUUGUAUGUCACGUUAACAUGAUUUGCAAUAAAAUUAUACUAGUGGAUAUUAUUAUCGCGUCAACAAAACGAGGCUGAAAAAUAAAGCACUAAGGACGCAAGAUUGAUAACAAAGGCACGAGCGGAUUUCGACGGGAAUUUAAUUUGGAAUUUAAUUACAAGGAUAUUUAAUUUCAGUUAUCUCCGGCAGCAACGAGCGAGACAUACCUACGUGCAAUACACGCGGAAUGCGAACGCUGUUAAUUUUUACGCCCGUUUACUCGCGAGCUUAAAUUUAUGAAACAAUUAUACACCACGUUAAUCAUUGCGGUUACGUAGGUUAAAGAAAAGGAUUAACUAAUUGAAUGUAUACCAAAAUUACAUUUCUCAGCUAAUGGCGUAGAUGAGAAGUUUGGUAUGAUAAGGACAGUUAAAAAGUAAACAGAUCUUCUCGAUAUCGAUGUAUAUCCGCGUGUUCAAAAACAAUAGAAUUUCAACGACAAUGUGGAAUCAAUUUCUUCUCGAAAACAUAGAGACAUCGUUUUCGAGCUAAAGCUGUACUUAAAAGAAUGUAAGAGUUUGGAAAAAUCGUAAUAGCCAAUAUUAUAUAAGAAGACCAAUAAGAGAUUAGUAUAGUAGUUUUCUCCGUACAGAUAAGUAUCCGAGUAAUGAGUAAAAUGGUAUGGAAAAUAUAAACGUUAUGUAAUAUGGCCAUUAUCUACACAUGUGUCUAUAAAAGUGACAUUUUAAAUUUCGUAUAUGUAUAUAACAUAUGUAAAUAUUAUUGAAAAUUCAACUAAUCAAAUGUAACAGUCAUCUCAUGCAUAUGACAUGAAUUCUGUAUAUUUUUUUAGGCUCAUGUACUUCGUAUAGUUUAGUUGUUUAGUUUUUAGUAUAAAUGCUGUGUGUAAUGCUCUUUUUGCUGAUUCAGAUAGAGGCAUUAGUACUCAGUCACUUUAAGAGAAUAUGUACUUUCUAUGAGAGGAUCGGUUGCAAAAUUCCAAGAGGAAUUGUUUUGAAAAAUGCGCAGAACACUUCGAGACAUUCGCACAUGUCUCACAUGUUUCUACUCGAGACUUGAAAGAAUGACUCGGAUGAUCGAUACUGCACAAGGAAGCAGCUUACCUUGGAA